AUGACGAGGGCAGCGGUUGCCAUGACGAGGAAACCACAGGUACUUCUCUGUCAGCGGUGCAUCCUCCGGUCACUUUCGGGAAAACUGGGUGUUGCCCGUCUCAUCUCUGUGUCACGCAAAUUCUAAUGACUCUGGUUUCUGGAGAGUAAAACACCAGCACCUUUAUGUGAUGCUUUUCUCUAAAGCGACUUACAAUCAUUUGCCUAUUGAUACAGCUGAACAAGUUGGAGUAAAUAUCUUUCUCAAGGGUUUUACAGCUGGAGGUGGCAUUCAAACCUGUGACCUUUAGCUCCAAAGGCAGAAGCUCUAACCACUAUGCUACCAGCUGCCUGAAAAAAAUCUGCUGCAGUCAGCAAAUUUUCUAUUUUUUCACACUACAUCCCAAACAUUAUGAACACAGCUUUGAAAUCGAUAUGUCCCCCCUCCCCAGCUGUGUUAAGUACGUGUGUUACAUCUGCGCUCCCCUGCCCAUGGUGAUGUGGUAGCAGAGCCACUUCACGCACGCCGUACCUACGUCCCUGAAACUCUCCACCCUGGAGGCUCAUAGGAAAUUGUGCAGGGCUCAGGCUUCGAUAUCACCUGCAGUCCAGUGUGUCUCAAAUCACUGUAGCUAUUAUAAUAGUUAUUAUAGUUAUGAUUCUCUCUGUACACCGAGUGCUCUGUCUGUGGACUACAUGUGGACUAUAUUUACAUGGCUACACUGUGGCAGCCAAACACUGUAUAAAUGUCUCUCAGCAGUUGUCCUCGCUGCCUUUCCCUCUCCUCCAGGUAUAGUAACUGGUGUAGUAACUGGUGUAGUAUCCGGAGUGGCUGUGCUUGCUGCUGUGCUUGUCGCUCUCGUUGUUGUGGCGAUGCGAUGCCGAAGAACAGCCUCUGAGCAGCGUGAAUCCGGGAAAACAACCACUCCUCCCAGCUAUGAAUACGAAACAGUCGGUGAAAAGAGUGCAGAUGCUGUGAUUUACUUGGAGGUGGGCCACACCGUACUGUCGAAAAUGGAGCAAACGGGAGACACUUCCAGGAUCAGGACAGAGUACGUCGUCAUCAGAGCAGUACCCAGAGCACAGCCACAUACAGUAUCCGAUUUCACACAGUGAUCAGUGUCCCCUGGCUCUCAGAUACCCCACGAGACCUCGGUAACAUGAAAAUAGUUGUCAGUUGUGGUACAUUGUGUAUUUUCAUUAUUGUUGGAUGAAAAAUGUACUUCUAUAUUUUGAACUGUUAUGUUUUUGAUGUUUUGUGCAGGGUGAUUGUUGCAAAUACAUAUAUGUAUAUAAAACCUAUUUUCUCUGUUAUUAUUGUGAGAUGGUUGAUGAUCUGGAGGGCGAUGGGAACAGCAGUGCUUCUUUUGUCCUCUGAACUUGUGGAAGAUCAUUUUAUUGAUCCUGUUGCCCUUUGUUAUGGGAAUGGUUUUAAUAUUAUGUUUUAAUUGUGCAAUGUUUUUUUAUGUGGAGUUGUGUACUUGGUGUUUUCUAAAAACUUCCUCAAACUUAAUUAGACGAAAAAUGACAAUAGUUGCUGAUGGGCUGGAAGAGCGACACAUAACAAACAAGGGCUGGCGGAGCUCUUUGCUCCAGUGUGAAACUAGUGUCUGGUAACUUCACGUGCGCUGGACACUGCUCUCUAAAACAUGUCUUCAAGUGAUGGCGAUAGACUCAGAAGACACACAGUUAUUCAGAACAAUUAAAAGACACAUCAUGAUUACAUCAUCAACAAUUCAUGGCCUAAUGUAAAGAAUGAAUGUUGCUGCAAUACACAGAAUUUACUCCUGGCAGUAAAUCACAUCUCAUUGCCCCUGACUAAUAUGGCUUUUAAAAAGGCACGACCAGAGUUGCACCUGAAAUUCUUGUUUCUCCACUUCAAGCGACACGUUACACUUCACAGAAGUUUAAUGACAAAACAACUCGAUCAAGCUCGACAUCGCCGCUAGAGCCCUCGGUGUGCGCGUGCACGUGUGACGUAGGACGCUCUGCGUCGCUUCCGUCUGAACGCAGUGACGUUGAACGCACGCUUUGUUCCUGAAGCGAUAGCUGGCUGGGUAAGAGACACGGGGAGGAUUGUUUCGUUGCGAAUAAAUAACGUUACGUGCUAUCGCUGUUCGACGUG
rnacentral:lncRNA from 1 species